rnacentral:lncRNA from 1 species
CCUCUUGCCUCCUUACAAGUACAAGCCUCAUCGUCGAUGCAGCUUUGACCCAUCUGAUAGUGUUGGGUUACCAUCUGUGAGUUACAAAUGAAGUCACUCAACUGAUGAAUCAACACACAACAUUCUAGGUGUCUUUCUCUGUAGAGUUCUUCCCCUAGUACAUAGACAUGUAGGAUCGGUGAUUGGUGAUUUCGCACUUUAUUACAUUUGUGAAUGUGAGCAUGAUUGGUUGGCUUUUUCAUUAUUGACCUGUCCAAGGUUCUCCUAUCCUCUCACAGUUUGUGCUAACAACAUUUUUGAACAAAUAAUUUAAUGUACUACCACAGGAUAUUUCUCAUGGAUCUUUUCCCUCCUUGUCCAGCACUGUCUCUCGGGCUGGUCAAACACAGGUCAGAAUACUCUGCCACCACCUAGCAGCCUAGAUCUGCGGAGCAGUGUUAACAUGAAGAAGUCCAAUGGGUCACUGGACUCAGAACUGGAGGACCUGUCUGCAUCCAAAAUGUCUGCUGAACACGACAAGAUGUCAGAAGUGGCUCGUCUGGCUCGUCACAACUUUCAACACUUCUUCCCUAGAAGAAAACUAAGAACUAUAUCUCAUCCUGUGUGCUGAAAAACCAUCAAGAGCAAAGUGAGUCUUGUUCUGUGAGAGGCCACUCAAAAUGGGUGCCCGUUUAGAUGAUUUACUUCAUGGUUUGUCUCUGGUUACUGUAUCGUGUGUUAUAUAGUUAGUUGUUUUUUAACAGUAAACAGAUACACAACUCUUUGUUGUAAGUGCCUGAGAUGUAGUUUUGGAUUUAAUUAAAUCUACAAUUUGGUAAUGAAACAUUAAAGAGGAGUUGCAUUUGAAAAUUUGUGCCAUCUAAUUUAGAUUCUACAUGUGACUGUCAGCAGCCUUGUGGGUGUCAAGCAACAGAUCCAUGUUGCGCCACAGUGAAAAGGGAACCAGUUUAUAUAUAUAUUGACAGUUUUAGUGUCACACAGCAAAGGUUACAUAUGUAUUUGCUUGACUCAGGCAGUGGCUUGUGUUUCCCUUUUCAACCGUUUGUUUUGGCUACAAGGUCCUUGCAUACUUCUGUUUUUAACUUCCUUCGACACUUCCUUACUGCAGGACUAAAAAAUCUGUAGAAGGCAGAGGCUGAUGUAGUGUACAGAAGCUGCAGCUCACAGGAAGCCACAGCCACCAAUAUUUAAUGUCACACGCUGCUGCGAUACCACCUUUGACACUCUAGAUUUUACAUUUGGUCAUGGUGAUCCAACAUAACUGAAUGCAAUAAAAUAUAUUGGGGUAUGCCCCA